CUAAUAUCAUAAAGUGGACUCAACAUUCCCACAUUGUGAUGGUUAAACAAAUGGUAAAAUUCCUUUGAAGUACUUCCAUUCCUGUUUGCAGCUUUGACUUCCAUUCUGCUUGAUAAAUGACUUCUCUCUAUCCUAAUGUUGUCGUCUUGCAAAUAUAUAACGACUUUGAGGCAAAUUCUCCCAUGCGGAUUUUCCUGACCUCCAGCCUCCUUUAAUGUCCUAAUGACUCUCUCUGUAGCCAGCAGGAAUUCUAAUCGGAGUAUAAGGUUUCCUGCAUGGUAACAGUUUCUAGUGGCUUCCCUGCUGCGUUUAAUUCAUCUCUUGAGAAGCUUUUAACCAGAUGCUUGAUAAUAUCCGGCUCUCUGAGAAACCCACACACAGGUUUAAUGAACCAAAAGACACUCGCAGAACCAGAAUUACCACCUGCAGUUACUGUGUAUAGCUGGUGGUACCAUUAUCCAGAGACACUCGAGAGCGCAGCGACAGAAAAAGAUUUUUAAUACAACAAAGAACUCACAGCGCUGAAGAAAAACAUGCAGUAAGAAUCCAUCAGUAAUAUUUGAAAAGAUGCUAAAGAGGUUUUUGCUCACUCAUCAAAGUUAUUACAUUAAGGUGUAGAUUGCUUCUGAAAAUCUUUGUGAAUUAAAGGGCAACUCUCAGUGAAUGCUUCCAAUAAUCAUAUGCAGUAAUUGUGCAAUUUUAAUUUUUUAAAAUAAAUUUGUUUAAUAAAUUCCCAGGUUUUCCCCUUUUAACACUCAUGGAACCUCUUCAACCCACCACGAUGCGCCUGCAUGAGAAAAAUGCUUCAUUCUUGGAAACAUAAUUGUUCAGUUUGAAGGAUAAAGCUGGUGAUAUUUCUCAUUGUCUUGCAUAUGCACGUACUAUGAUCCUUCAAAACAUUCACAUUCUCCAGCGACAUUGAAGCUAAAAGUUCUUCAGUUCUUGACUUCAAUCUUGUGAUGUUGCUUUAGAAUUAGCUCAAGUAGAAGCAUCUGCGUUGCUGCACUUCCAUUAACCCCAAAAUUGUGCAAUUUGACAUUUCAAAAAUAAAUUUGUUGUUUUCUGUUAAUGCAAUAUGUAACCCGCAAUUAGUCAAUUAGUCAAGACUUUUAUUUUUGCGGGCCCACUUCCUGUUUUGCCCCAAACUCUGCAACUGAUUUAAAGCCCCGCCUCCAGCGCGUAGUUUGAACUUCACCACCUGUUCCACUGUGAUUGUGGCUGGUUGUUUGGCGUCUUCCUAACAAUUCACCCAAAUCUUUGCAUCCACUGAUUUGAUCCUUCGAACUGUUGGCGGUUGUUACCUGGGCCGGAUAUUCACAGCUGAUCGCAGUCUAAUACGCCCCACUCUCUGCCCAAAGGUUGGAUUUUUUAUUCCUGAUGGAUCAGAUCCUCUUCUGAAUCCAAGGAUGGUGAGCUAGGAAUAAGGACAAGAACUGUGAUCUCGGAAUUUAUUUAUUUUUGAGUUAAUUUGUCUCUCAUUGUGCAUUUGUAAUUGUCUUGUUUUUUUU